GGUAUGGAAUGGGUUAAUGUGAGCCUCGUUACCGGUAUGGAAUGGGUUAAUAGGGGCCUCGUUACCGGUAUGGAAUGGGUUAAUGUGAGCCUCAUUACCGGUAUGGAAUGGGUUAAUGGGAGCCUCGUUACCGGUAUGGAAUGGGUUAAUGGGAGCCUCGUUACCGGUAUGGAAUGGGUUAAUGGGAGCCUCGUUACCGGUAUGGAAUGGGUUAAUGGGAGCCUCGUUACCGGUAUGGAAUGGGUUAAUGGGAGCCUUCGUUACCGGUAUGGAAUGGGUUAAUGGGAGCCUCGUUACCGGUAUGGAAUGGGUUAAUAGGGGCCUCGUUACCGGUAUGGAAUGGGUUAAUGGGAGCCUCAUUACCGGUAUGGAAUGGGUUAAUGGGAGCCUCGUUACCGGUAUGGAAUGGGUUAAUGGGAGCCUCAUUACCG